AAGCUCUCAACGGCUCAAAUGGUGCCGGCGAUGUUCAUUUUCGGCGACUCACUUGUCGACGUCGGCAACAACAAUCACCUUCCUGUUUCUAUUGCCAAAGCAAACUUUCCUCACAACGGUAUCGAUUUUCCUACCAAGAAAGCCACUGGAAGGUUUAGCAAUGGGAAGAACGCUGCAGAUUUUCUCGCUGAGAAAGUGGGCUUGCCUAGUUCACCCCCAUAUCUAUCCCUGUCAUCGAAGAAUGCCUCUGCCUUCAUGACUGGCGUCAGCUUCGCCUCCGGUGGUGCUGGAAUCUUCAAUGGCACAGAUCAAACUCUGCGACAAUCCAUGCCCUUGACACAGCAAGUAGGUGACUAUGAAUCCGUGUAUGGAGUGUUGGUGCAAAAGCUGGGAUCCUCUCCUGCACAAAAAUUGUUAUCUAAAUCCCUAUUUGCUAUAGUCAUCGGUAGCAAUGACAUCUUUGGUUACUCAAACUCAUCCGAUCGCAACAAAAGCACCCCUCAAGAAUAUGUGGAUUUGAUGAUUCUCACAUUGAAACAACUAGUACA
rnacentral:misc_RNA from 1 species